UUUUAUAGAACUGGAUAUUGAACCCAGGGCCUCAUCAAUGCUCAGCAAGUACCUCAUCACUGGCCUGUAUCCCCAGCCACCAGCUUCUAUUUUUAUUUCAAGGUCUAUGGUUCACUUGGAUGUCCAGUACAGAAGAUAAAGCCAACGAGAAGCUAUGGAUGUUGAGAAUGGUGAAAGGGACCAGUAGUAAAACUGAAGAAUAUGCUGAGAG
rnacentral:lncRNA from 1 species